CCUACGGGCGGCAGCAGUGGGGAAUAUUGGACAAUGGGGGGAACCCUGAUCCAGCCAUGCCGCGUGUGUGAAGAAGGCCCUCGGGUUGGAAAGCACUUUCAGUGAGGAAGAACGCCUGGUGGUUAAUACCCAUCAGGAAAGACAUCACUCACAGAAGAAGCACCGGCUAACUCCGUGCCAGCAGCCGCGGUAAUACGGAGGGGGCGAGCGUUAAUCGGAAUUACUGGGCGUAAAGCGCGCGUAGGUGGCUUGAUAAGCCGGUUGUGAAAGCCCCGGGCUCAACCUGGGAACGGCAUCCGGAACUGUCAAGCUAGAGUGCAGGAGAGGAAGGUAGAAUUCCCGGUGUAGCGGUGAAAUGCGUAGAGAUCGGGAGGAAUACCAGUGGCGAAGGCGGCCUUCUGGACUGACACUGACACUGAGGUGCGAAAGCGUGGGUAGCAAACAGGAUUAGAUACCCUGGUAGUC
rnacentral:rRNA from 1 species